rnacentral:rRNA from 1 species
GACGAACGCUGGCGGAGGGAGGAACACAUGCAAGUCGAACGGAAAGGCCCUGCUUUUGUGGGGUGCUCGAGUGGCGAACGGGUGAGUAACACGUGAGUAACCUGCCCUUGACUUGGGGAUAACUUCAGGAAACUGGGGCUAAUACCGGAUAGGAGCUCCUGCUGCAUGGUGGGGGUUGGAAAGUUUCGGCGGUUGGGGAUGGACUCGCGGCUUAUCAGCUUGUUGGUGGGGUAGUGGCUUACCAAGGCUUUGACGGGUAGCCGGCCUGAGAGGGUGACCGGCCACAUUGGGACUGAGAUACGGCCCAGACUCCUACGGGAGGCAGCAGUGGGGAAUAUUGCACAAUGGGCGGAAGCCUGAUGCAGCAACGCCGCGUGCGGGAUGACGGCCUUCGGGUUGUAAACCGCUUUCGCCUGUGACGAAGCGUGAGUGACGGUAAUGGGUAAAGAAGCACCGGCUAACUACGUG